GAUGAACGCUAGCUACAGGCUUAACACAUGCAAGUCGAGGGGAAACGAUAUUGGAAGCUUGCUUCCGAUAGGCGUCGACCGGCGCACGGGUGAGUAACGCGUAUCCAACCUGCCCAUCACUUGGGGAUAACCUUGCGAAAGUAAGACUAAUACCCAAUGACGUCUCUAGAAGACAUCUGAAAGAGAUUAAAGAUUUAUCGGUGAUGGAUGGGGAUGCGUCUGAUUAGCUUGUUGGCGGGGUAACGGCCCACCAAGGCGACGAUCAGUAGGGGUUCUGAGAGGAAGGUCCCCCACAUUGGAACUGAGACACGGUCCAAACUCCUACGGGAGGCAGCAGUGAGGAAUAUUGGUCAAUGGACGAGAGUCUGAACCAGCCAAGUAGCGUGCAGGAAGACGGCCCUAUGGGUUGUAAACUGCUUUUAUAAGGGAUAAAGUGAGUCUCGUGAGACUUUUUGCAUGUACCUUAUGAAUAAGGACCGGCUAAUUCCGUGCCAGCAGCCGCGG
rnacentral:rRNA from 1 species